UCUAUGGAAGCGCCAAAGUCGUUUCUUCAGUCUUGGGACUUCCAUCUUUCAACUGACAGCACACUGUGUUGAUAUCACACAGAGCUCCCGGCACAUCGCGUUUGUUGUUUAUAUCAUACGCAUGCGCGCACGUCUCACAAGAUUUUCCUUAUAUCAAUAACCUCGCGUGUGAUUGGAGGAGCCCGACAGGGUUCUCGCCUUCGUCCAAUCGCGUGCGAGGUCAUGGCCACGGCUCACACAGCAGUACAAGAGGAACAUUAAGCGAUGUUUGGUUGGGUGUUUGUAACUCUCCAAGAAGAGAAGACGGGUGCACAAUCCCAAGAUUGCGGAGGCUGUACGGCGUCUCUGAGGUACACUGCAGGCGCUUUGAACCAGAGCAAAGACUAACGUCGCCUCAUAACGAAGCCGUGACCUCCUAUUUGGUUGGGGCUAUUUUAGCAAGUCCACAUUUAACUGCUGAGAAUGACGACAUUGUUUCUGCCUGUAAGACGUAUUAUGAGUCGGUUCGCCGGAGCUUCAGAUACAAACAACCUGAACUCGCAUCGCGGGCGGAAAAUGCGAAAAGUUUAGCUCGGAGUCGACCCAGAAGAAAAAGGUUGCUGGAAGCGAGACGAAGUGUGCUGGCUGAGGAUGAGAUGGACAUUUGAAAGUGCGCCACCAUAGAUCUCAUGUCUGAUGAAGACGGCAUUGUUGACGGGGUGUCUGGAUGGAUUGUGCGGCCACCGCCCUCUCGCAGCCUGGAACUCUCCGAGCUCUGUGCCACGCUGCAAUUCAGAUUAGAGGCGAUACCAAAGUACAGGGGAACUCACCAUAUAUGCCUGCAAAAGCGACUUUUUUUACAACGUUUUUGAGUUUUUUUUUUCUUUUUUCAACACUUGAUAACUUUGAAAAAGAUUUUUAGGGAUCUUUCCCGAAUGUCUUGGGCACUUUUUGACGUGUUUGGAGGACAACAUAAGAGACAUUAUGCUGCUUUGUACAUAGUUGUGUGUUUCUAAUUAAAGCUCUUUCUUUGAAUAAACAGCUGUGUGUUUAUAAAUAAACCUCUUUGUUUUCUCUUAUAUUUCUUGAUGGUGUGAAUAAUGAAGUACAUAGCACAAUGACAUUAUUAUAUAAAAAAUUAAUAUCACAUAAAUUAUAUAUUUAUUAUUAUUAUUAUUGGGGUUUACAUUUAUAAUGAGCCAGGGUGCCCAAUAACCCCCCUCUUUAGAGUAACGGCCCGACUUGAAUUUACUCACUCGGUAUUGGCUGAAGC